rnacentral:lncRNA from 1 species
UUAAGAAAGGCUGAGGUAGGCCUGAUUUAUAACCCACAGGAGAUUCUACAUUCCCUUGUCUCUGAUGAGUUUCUUUAGGUUGUGAGUAGCACCCUACAGUCAGUCUUUUUUGGGUCCUCCUUCCAAAUGUGAGACGAGCUAGGAAUUGUUUUUUGUUUGUUUUUACCCUUGCCUUCAUCAUCUGUUUCCUUCACUCUUCAAAGUUUUGUCGUCUUGAUUAGUACUUCUCACUUGCACCUCUUCUAUUGUGGCCCUAUGAGCAGCUUGGUUGUAGCUGGUAUGAGCAGUAUUUUUUUUUUGUCAAAUCUCCCUUUCCCUUUGUUCUUAUCCAGUUCUGUCUUCAUUGUCCGCCUUUCUUAGCUCUAGACAGAGUAUUCCACAACUUCGGGACUGCCUCAUACAGUGGCGGAACGACAUUGAAUUCAGAGGUUCAUCUGAACCCCCUUCGUCGGAAAAUUAUACUAUUUUUACAUGGUCAAUGAUAUUUUUAUGUAUAUAUAAUAGAUGUUGAACCCCCUUCGAUUAGUCCGUAUAUUUACUUCUGAACCCCUAAAUAAAAAUUCUGCAUCCGCCAUUGACCUCAU